UGGGGAAUUUUGGACAAUGGGGGAAACCCUGAUCCAGCCAUCCCGCGUGUGCGAUGAAGGCCUUCGGGUUGUAAAGCACUUUUGGCAGGAAAGAAACGUCAUGGGUUAAUACCCCGUGAAACUGACGGUACCUGCAGAAUAAGCACCGGCUAACUACGUGCCAGCAGCCGCGGUAAUACGUAGGGUGCAAGCGUUAAUCGGAAUUACUGGGCGUAAAGCGUGCGCAGGCGGUUCGGAAAGAAAGAUGUGAAAUCCCAGAGCUCAACUUUGGAACUGCAUUUUUAACUACCGGGCUAGAGUGUGUCAGAGGGAGGUGGAAUGCCGCGUGUAGCAGUGAAAUGCGUAGAUAUGCGGAGGAACACCGAUGGCGAAGGCAGCCUCCUGGGAUAACACUGACGCUCAUGAACGAAAGCGUGGGGAGCAAACAGG
rnacentral:rRNA from 1 species